GAGUUUGAUUCUGGCUCAGAUUGAACGCUGGCGGCGUGCUUAACACAUGCAAGUCGAACGUGAAAGGGGCUUCGGUCCCGAGUAAAGUGGCGCACGGGUGAGUAACGCGUGGACAAUCUGCCCUUAUGAGUGGGAUAACAGUUGGAAACGGCUGCUAAUACCGCAUACGCUCAGGAAUGACUUUUUGAGGAAAGGCGGCCUCUGCUUGCAAGCUGUCGCAUAAGGAUGAGUCCGCGUCCCAUUAGCUUGUUGGUGGGGUAACGGCCUACCAAGGCAACGAUGGGUAGCCGAUUUGAGAGGAUGAUCGGCCACACUGGAACUGAAACACGGUCCAGACUCCUACGGGAGGCAGCAGUGGGGAAUAUUGCGCAAUGGGCGAAAGCCUGACGCAGCGACGCCGCGUGAGGGAUGAAGGUUUUCGGAUCGUAAACCUCUGUCGGAAGGGAAGAAGGUGCACUCUGCUAAUCAGGGGUGUAUGACGNACCUU
rnacentral:rRNA from 1 species